GUGAACCAGUACCGUGAGGGAAAGAUGAAAAGCACCCCGACGAGGGGAGUGAAACAGUACCUGAAACCGGAUGCUUACAAGCAGGUGGAGCUCUUCGGAGUGACACCGUACCUUUUGUAUAAUGGGUCAGCGACUUAUAUUCUGUAGCAAGGUUAACCGAAUAGGGGAGCCGUAGGGAAACCGAGUCUUAACUGGGCGAAUAGUUGCAAGGUAUAGACCCGAAACCCGGUGAUCUAGCCAUGAUCAGGUUGAAGGUUGGGUAACACCAACUGGAGGACCGAACCCAUCGUCGUUGAAAAGCCGUGGGAUGAAUUGUGGCUAGGGGUGAAAGGCCAAUCAAACCGGGUAAUAG
rnacentral:rRNA from 13 species